CUCCAGGUUGGUGAGAAAGUUUCCUCUCUAAGGAAACCCAGCAGGUUGCAUCAAAUCUCUCCAAGCAGCCUUCACUCCUCCUGAAAGAGC